rnacentral:rRNA from 1 species
AUGCGCAUUCACAUGCGUGGCAUUCGUCUCUGGGGUGUUCUUUCCGGUGAGGUCCCCUGUCCUCCGCGUCCAGUGCCUCUUGUGGCUCCUACCCCACCGCCGACGCCACCGGCUCUUGACACAAAUGCUUCUGAUGCUGAUAGGGCUGCAGCCAGGGUUGCUGUUGAUGAUGCAGAUGCCGCUUAUGACCAGGAGGUCUUGGAUAAUUCAAAUGCUCUUUCUGUUUAUCGUGACGAUCUGGCUGCUUACACUCAGUGGUGUGAUGAUGAUGCUCGUGUUGCGACUGUUCUCACUUCCAGUGUUUUGCCUCAGUUUGCUUCUGAGCCUCGAUACUGCCUUUUAACAUCCUCAUGUAUGUGUAUAUAUGUUGGCAUUGGCCUCCUAAUAAUAUAA